rnacentral:lncRNA from 1 species
GUGGGGCAGGGUGUCCGGGUUAUGGGUCCCUAUGGGGCUGGGCGCGGAUCUAUGGGGCAGAGUGUCCGGGUGCGGAUCUAUGGGGCACGAGGCCACGCCCCCCUGUCCCCCCCCAGAGCUGGAGGCGGCGGUUGUGGGGCUGCUGCGGGAGCUGUGGGGGCGCAGCCCCAUAGAAGUGGGGCGGGGGCUGGAGCGGCUGCCCCAUAGCGACCGCGUGCGGCUGCGGAACGCCAUGGUGAGACCCACAGCGACCCACAAGUUACCCCUGAGUGCCCCAUAA